UACGUAGGGGGCUAGCGUUGUCCGGAAUCAUUGGGCGUAAAGCGCGUGUAGGCGGUCCGGUAAGUCCGCUGUGAAAGUCGGGGGCUCAACCCUCGAAUGCCGGUGGAUACUGUCGGGCUAGAGUGCGGAAGAGGCGAGUGGAAUUCCUGGUGUAGCGGUGAAAUGCGCAGAUAUCAGGAGGAACACCAACGGCGAAGGCAGCUCGCUGGGACGGUACUGACACUGAGGCGCGAAAGCGUGGGGAGCGAACAGG
rnacentral:rRNA from 1 species